rnacentral:rRNA from 1 species
GAUGAACGCUGGCGGCGUGCCUAAUACAUGCAAGUCGAGCGAACAGACGAGGAGCUUGCUCCUCUGACGUUAGCGGCGGACGGGUGAGUAACACGUGGAUAACCUACCUAUAAGACUGGGAUAACUUCGGGAAACCGGAGCUAAUACCGGAUAAUAUAUUGAACCGCAUGGUUCAAUAGUGAAAGACGGUUUUGCUGUCACUUAUAGAUGGAUCCGCGCCGCAUUAGCUAGUUGGUAAGGUAACGGCUUACCAAGGCAACGAUGCGUAGCCGACCUGAGAGGGUGGUCGGCCACACUGGAACUGAGACACGGGCCAGACUCCUACGGGAGGCAGCAGUAGGGAAUCUUCCGCAAUGGGCGAAAGCUUGACGGGGCAACGCCGCGUGAGUGAUGAAGGUCUUCGGAUCGUAAAACUCUGUUAUUAGGGAAGAACAAAUGUGUAAGUAACUAUGCACGUCUUGACGGUACCUAAUCAGAAAGCCACGGCUAACUACGUG